rnacentral:misc_RNA from 1 species
GAAAUGCGAUAAGUAAUGUGAAUUGCAGAAUUCAGUGAAUCAUCGAAUCUUUGAACGCACAUUGCGCCCGCCAGUAUUCUGGCGGGCAUGCCUGUUCGAGCGUCAUUUCAACCAUCAAGCCCCCGGGCCUGUGUUGGGGACCUGCGGCUGCCCGCAGGCCCCGAAAACCAGUGGCGGGCUCGCUGUCACCCCGAGCGUAGUAGCAACACCUCGCCCAGGGAGUGCCGCGGGCACCGGCCGUAAAACCUCCUCUCGCCCCCCCGCGGGAGGGAACACCCCAAAGGUUGACCUCGGAUCAGGUAGGAAGACCCGCUGAACUUAA